GGUGGUUCUCGGGUGAUGCACCCCAGAAUUGGGCUCCCUCCUCUCUGGUUCUGGGUGCAUCAUUUAAGAACUGCA
rfam:Myotis brandtii contig176142, whole genome shotgun sequence.